UGCAAGUCGACGGUAGCACAGAGAGCUUGCUCUCGGGUGACGAGUGGCGGACGGGUGAGUAAUGUCUGGGAAACUGCCUGAUGGAGGGGGAUAACUACUGGAAACGGUAGCUAAUACCGCAUAACGUCGCAAGACCAAAGAGGGGGACCUUCGGGCCUCUUGCCAUCAGAUGUGCCCAGAUGGGAUUAGCUAGUAGGUGGGGUAACGGCUCACCUAGGCGACGAUCCCUAGCUGGUCUGAGAGGAUGACCAGCCACACUGGAACUGAGACACGGUCCAGACUCCUACGGGAGGCAGCAGUGGGGAAUAUUGCACAAUGGGCGCAAGCCUGAUGCAGCCAUGCCGCGUGUAUGAAGAAGGCCUUCGGGUUGUAAAGUACUUUCAGCGGGGAGGAAGGUGUUGUGGUUAAUAACCGCAGCAAUUGACGUUACCCGCAGAAGAAGCACCGGCUAACUCCGUGCCAGCAGCCGCGGUAAUACGGAGGGUGCAAGCGUUAAUCGGAAUUACUGGGCGUAAAGCGCACGCAGGCGGUCUGUCAAGUCGGAUGUGAAAUCCCCGGGCUCAACCUGGGAACUGCAUACGAAACUGGCAAGCUAGAGUCUUUGUAGAGGGGGGUAGAAUUCCAGGUGUAGCGGUGAAAUGCGUAGAGAUCUGGAGGAAUACCGGUGGCGAAGCGGCCCCCUGGAACAAAGACUGACGCUCAGUGCGAAAGCGUGGGGAGCAAACAGAUUAGAUACCCUGGUAGUCCACGCCGUAAACGACGUCUACUUGGAGGUUGUGCCCUUGAAGCGUGCUUUCCGAAGCUAACGCGUUAAGUUCGACCGCCU
rnacentral:rRNA from 1 species